UGGGGAAUAUUGCACAAUGGGCGCAAGCCUGAUGCAGCCAUGCCGCGUGUAUGAAGAAGGCCUUCGGGUUGUAAAGUACUUUCAGCGGGGAGGAAGGUGUUGAGGUUAAUAACCUCAGCAAUUGACGUUACCCGCAGAAGAAGCACCGGCUAACUCCGUGCCAGCAGCCGCGGUAAUACGGAGGGUGCAAGCGUUAAUCGGAAUUACUGGGCGUAAAGCGCACGCAGGCGGUCUGUCAAGUCGGAUGUGAAAUCCCCGGUCUCAACCUGGGAACUGCAUUCGAAACUGGCAGGCUAGAGUCUUGUAGAGGGGGGUAGAAUUCCAGGUGUAGCGGUGAAAUGCGUAGAGAUCUGGAGGAAUACCGGUGGCGAAGGCGGCCCCCUGGACAAAGACUGACGCUCAGGUGCGAAAGCGUGGGGAGCAAACA
rnacentral:rRNA from 1 species